rnacentral:pre_miRNA from 1 species
GUUGUACUUCCUCCGUUCGGAAUUACUUGUCUUGAAAAUGGAUGUAUCUAGAACUAAAAUACAUCUAGAUACAUCCAUUUGUACGACAAGUAAUUCCAAACGAAGGGAGUAUGUG